rnacentral:misc_RNA from 1 species
AACCUUAUGGACCUGCGGGCGUAUACCUGCGGAGGGAUCAUUACCGAGUUAUACAACUCAUCAACCCCUGUGAACUUACCUACAACGUUGCUUCGGCGGGAACAGACGGCCCCGUAAAACGGGCCGCCCCCGCCAGAGGACCCCUAACUCUGUUUUUAUAAUGUUUUUCUGAGUAAACAAGCAAAUAAAUUAAAACUUUUAACAACGGAUCU